GACGAACGCUGGCGGCGUGCUUAACACAUGCAAGUCGAACGGAAAGGCCCUGCUUGCCGGGUACUCGAGUGGCGAACGGGUGAGUAACACGUGGGUGAUCUGCCCUGCACUUCGGGAUAAGCCUGGGAAACUGGGUCUAAUACCGGAUAGGAGCCAUUUUUAGUGUGAUGGUUGGAAAGUUUUUUCGGUGUAGGAUGAGCUCGCGGCCUAUCAGCUUGUUGGUGGGGUAAUGGCCUACCAAGGCGGCGACGGGUAGCCGGCCUGAGAGGGUGGACGGCCACAUUGGGACUGAGAUACGGCCCAGACUCCUACGGGAGGCAGCAGUGGGGAAUAUUGCACAAUGGGCGCAAGCCGGAUGCAGCGACGCCGCGUGGGGGAUGACGGCCUUCGGGUUGUAAACUCCUUUCGCUAGGGACGAAGCUUUUUGUGACGGUACCUAGAGAAGAAGCACCGGCUAACUACGUG
rnacentral:rRNA from 1 species